AUUUAUUUAGUAUAAAAGUACUAUUAACUUCCAAUUAAAAAGUCUGCAAAGCAGAAUAAAUA
rnacentral:tRNA from 2 species